CAACAACAUAUUCAUUAAAUAGCAAAAUUUUCAUCAUUCCCACAAUCAAUCAAAUUUCAUGGGUUUAACAACAACAAUUUCAUCAUGCGCACAUUUUAACCAUUUUUCAUGAAUUUAACAACAACAGUUUCAUCAUUUUCACAAUUCAAUCAACUUUCAUGGGUUUAACAACAACAUUUUCAUCAUUGACACAAUUCAAUCAAAUUUCAUAUGUUUAUUAGCAACAUUUUCAUAAUUUACACAAUUCAAUCAAAACAACAACAUUUUCAUCAUUGACACAAUUCAAUCAAAUUUCAUAUGUUUAUUAGCAACAUUUUCAUAAUUUACACAAUUCAAUCAAAUUUCAUGGGUUUAACAACACAUUUUUAUCAUUUCCACAAUUUAAUCAAAUUUCAUGGGUUCAACAACAACAUUAUCAUCAUUCCCACAAUUCAUUCAAAUUUCAUGGGUUAAACAGCAACAUUUUCAUCAGUCACACAAUUCAAUCAAAUUUCAUGGGUUUAACAACAAAAUCUUCGUCAUUCACACAAUUCAAUCAAAUUUCAUAGGUUUAACAACAAAAUCUUCAUCAUUCACACAAUUCAAUAAAAUUACAUGGGUUUAACGUCAACAUUUUCAUCAUUGCCACAAAUCAAUCAAAUUCCAUGGGUUUAAUAGCAGCGUUUUCAUCAUUCACUCAAUUCAAUCUAAUUUUAUGGUUUUAAGAGCAACAUUUUCAUCAAUUCCAUAAUUCAAUCAAAUUCCAUGAGUUUAACAACAACAUAUUCAUUAUUCACACAAUUCAAUAAAAUUUCAUGGUUUUAAUAGCAAAAUUUUCAUCAUUCCCACAAUUCAAUCAAAUUUCAUGGGUUUAACAACAACAAUUUCAUCAUGCGCACAUUUUAACCAAUUUUCAUGAAUUUAACAACAACAAUUUCAUCAUUUUCACAAUUCAAUCAUCUUUCAUGGGUAUAAAAACAACAUUUUCAUCAUUGACACAAUUCAAUCAAAUUUCAUAUGUUUAAUAGCAACAUUUUCAUAAUUUACACAAUUCAAUCAAAUUUCAUGGGUUUAACAAUAACAUUUUCAUCAUUCCCACAAUUAAAUCAAAUUUCAUGGGUUCAACACCAAGUUUUUCAUCAUUCCCACAAUUCAAGGGAAUUUC
rnacentral:lncRNA from 1 species